ACGUUAUCACGAAAGGCAGAGGGACUAGACCCGACGAAGCCUUAGCAACCCUACGCUUGUAGAAGGUGCUACAUUCUACCUCGCUUUAGCAGGACAGAUAACAG
rfam:Flavobacterium suncheonense GH29-5 = DSM 17707 strain GH29-5 contig18, whole genome shotgun sequence.